rnacentral:sRNA from 1 species
CUGACAGCAACAAAAACUAAAAUCCUUUAUCUACAGAGCUGAUACAGCACAGGCAGCAGCGCAGAAAACUUCUGCAUGCUGCAUCAUGCCUUGAAUGGGAAUAACAAUUUCUGGGUUUGAAAAGUUAGUUCAGAUUCCUUGCCCCCUCUGCUGAUGCCAGUG